AAGCCACCUGGUGACUCUGCUUACUUGGAUGUGUUUCUGCAGAAGUUUAGAAAAAACUGCCAGUGGUAAUGCCAUGUUGUGAGCCUUAAGGACACUGAAGUCACUAAUGUUCCGAGAGAUGGCUGCAGCA
rnacentral:snoRNA from 1 species